AGGGAUUUCCCAGGAUGUCUCAAAUAGGCAGGCUGUGACUAAGACCUGGGGCAGAUUAGCCUUGCUAUGGGGCCUUGAGGUAAUGGAGCACUACUGGGUGGUACAGAUAAAAGCGUGGAAAUGGCAGAUACUUGGAGCUACAUAAAUGAACUGCGAUGGAACAGAAGACCUCAUUUUGGACUUGGAACGAAAAAAAAGGAGGCAAGGAAUACAAAAAGGGAAAGAACGUGUAACUAAAAGGAGAAAAGAAUUUAUAGUCAAUCAUUUAACUUCAUUAGACCUGCCUAUGAGAUAUUCACAUAUAUAUAGGAUAAAGCCGUAAACUCCUAAAAUUCAAAAGGGAGUGAUUGAGUGUCCCACAUUUGGCCCUCCCAUUUCUCCUGAAUAUCUCCCCCCACUCUCCAACUCUCCCCUGUGCUCCAACCAUCCUGACUGACCUCCCUUUCCUGAAAUGAGUGAGCUGGUUCUACGCCCCUGAGCUCUGUGCAUGCUGUUCUUGCCACCUCAGAUGUCUCCUCUCCGGGCUCUCCAUCCAACCUUGUGGCUGGAGAAACCUACAGUCAGUGCUUCUAUUUCCUUCUGAUCUUCUCUUGACCUCCUCUAAUCAGCUAAGAAGAACCCUUCAUCAUGCAUUAUGAUUACAUAUUUCCAUGUUCCUGUAUUCAUCUCUGUGUCCACAGCAGCCAGGCACUGAGCUGUCUGGCACACAGCAGGCGUUCAACGCAUUUUGCUACAUGAAUAAAUGGAUGAAUAUCUA